rfam:Roseateles depolymerans strain KCTC 42856, complete genome.
CCUCUUCGAUCUGCUGCGGGCAAAUGAAGUGAAUGUGGGAAUCGAUGCCGCCCGCGGUGACGAUCAUCCCCUCGCACGCGAUCACUUCGGUGCCGGGGCCGAUGAUGAUGUCCACCCCCGGCUGCGUAUCCGAAUUGCCCGCCUUGCCGAUGGCCACGAUGCGGUGGUCCUUCAGGCCGAUGUCCGCCUUGAUGAUGCCCCAGUGGUCCAGGAUCACCGCAUUGGUCAGCACCGUGUCCACCGCCCCCUGGUCACGCGUGCGCUGGGACUGGGCCAUGCCGUCCCGGAUGG